rnacentral:rRNA from 1 species
UACGGGGGGGGCAAGCGUUGUUCGGAAUUACUGGGCGUAAAGGGCUCGUAGGCGGCCAACUAAGUCGGAUGUGAAAUCCCCAGGCUUAACCUGGGAACUGCAUCCGAUACUGGAUGGCUUGAAUCCGGGAGAGGGAUGCAGAAUUCCAGGUGUAGCGGUGAAAUGCGUAGAUAUCUGGAGGAAUACCGGUGGCGAAGGCGGUUCUCUGGGCAUGUCCUGACGCUGAGGAGCGAAAGUGUGGGGAGCGAACAGG